rnacentral:rRNA from 1 species
CCUACGGGAGGCAGCAGUAGGGAAUCUUCGGCAAUGGGGGCAACCCUGACCGAGCAACGCCGCGUGAGUGAAGAAGGUUUUCGGAUCGUAAAGCUCUGUUGUAAGAGAAGAAUGAUUGUGUAGUAACUAUACACAGUAGAGACGGUACCUAACCAGAAAGCCACGGCUAACUACGUGCCAGCAGCCGCGGUAAUACGUAGGUGGCGAGCGUUGUCCGGAAUUAUUGGGCGUAAAGCGAGCGCAGGCGGUUAGAUAAGUCUGAAGUUAAAGGCUGUGGCUUAACCAUAGUACGCUUUGGAAACUGUUUAACUUGAGUGCAAGAGGGGAGAGUGGAAUUCCAUGUGUAGCGGUGAAAUGCGUAGACAUAUGGAGGAACACCGGUGGCGAAAGCGGCUCUCUGGCUUGUAACUGACGCUGAGGCUCGAAAGCGUGGGGAGCAAACAGGAUUAGAUACCCUGGUAGUCCACGCCGUAAACGAUGAGUGCUAGGUGUUAGACCCUUUCCGGGGUUUAGUGCCGCAGCUAACGCAUUAAGCACUCCGCCUGGGGAGUACGACCGCAAGGUUGAAACUCAAAGGAAUUGACGG